AUAGUACGAUAUUUGCUUCCAAAUUAAACGAUACAAUAAAUCAUCAUCACAAUGUUCAAAUACGUGUUUUUCGCUGCUCUUUUAGCUUUAGUCUCAGCAAAGCCAUUAGUUGUGGAAUAUGAGUACCCGAUAGCGUCGGUAGCUUCCUACUCGACGCCAGUAGCAGUGGAUUAUACUGCACCAUAUUAUUACCCAGGAUACGCAAGUGCAUAUGAUUAUGCACCAUACACCUACCCCUACAGUUAUUUCGUACGUUAAAAAGCUUUAUUUGUAUCUUAUAUAAGAUUAAAAUAAAAUAUAUUUAUUCCAUAAAAUAA